CAGGGAAUCUUCCACAAUGGGCGCAAGCCUGAUGGAGCGACGCCGCGUGAGGGAUGAAGGCUUUAGGGUCGUAAACCUCUUUUCUCAGGGAAGAGUAAGGACGGUACCUGAGGAAUAAGCAUCGGCUAACUACGUGCCAGCAGCCGCGGUAAUACGUAGGAUGCGAGCGUUGUCCGGAAUCAUUGGGCGUAAAGGGUCCGUAGGCGGUUCGUUAAGUUCCCUGUGAAAACUCCAGGCUCAACUUGGAGCGGUCGGGGAAUACUGGCGGACUUGAGACUGUCAGAGGCAAGUGGAAUUCCCGGUGUAGUGGUGAAAUGCGUAGAUAUCGGGAGGAACACCAGUGGCGAAAGCGGCUUGCUGGGACAGUUCUGACGCUGAGGGACGAAAGCGUGGGGAGCGAACCGGAUUAGAUACCCCCGUAGUCC
rnacentral:rRNA from 1 species